rnacentral:lncRNA from 1 species
ACCAUAAGAACUCAUAGAAGUAUAGCUAGAACAAGUUCUGCACCUUUUCUAGCUGAAAAUCCUAUGUUUUGAAGUUUGAAUUCAUCUCUAAUCAAGGCUUCUAGCACACCCUAUAUGAGACUGAUCUUUUCACUUCAUACACCACAUUGAACUUGAGGUAAGUUGAAGCUUUCAUUUGCUCAUCAUAAGAACCUAAUUAUGUAUGCUUUAAUGUGACUUUUGCUACGUGUUCUCCAUGAUGUUUGAAUGAUUGAUGAGUCAUAGUGAUAUGAAAGAAUAUGUUUUGAAAAUUGGAGUAUGGUACUUGAUUGAUGGUCGAGUAGGCAAGGGACGCGAGAGGGACCGGCGGACCCAACACAUGGUGGCAAAUACCUGAGGUCGAAAGACCAGUAUGGAAAACCCACAAUUAAAGAAAUGAAAUACGGCUAAUACCUGAGGUCGAAAGGCCGGUAUGGAAACCCCGUAUUAUCUAUUGGCCAAAUAUGAUAAACAGGUUCCAAAAACCACAGUCUAUUGCUAUCAGUCAAGUACCACACUUCAAGGGUACCCGAAAAAGAGAAGGAUUUCAAAGGAAAGGAUCAUGAAUGAAGUUAUAUGUGAUAUUGUACAUAUUGAAUGAAUAACGUGUUAUGUGAUAUAUUGCUAUUA